rnacentral:rRNA from 1 species
AGAGUUUGAUCAUGGCUCAGAUUGAACGCUGGCGGCAUGCCUUACACAUGCAAGUCGAACGGCAGCACGGGAGCUUGCUCCUGGUGGCGAGUGGCGAACGGGUGAGUAAUACAUCGGAACGUACCCUGAAGUGGGGGAUAACGUAGCGAAAGUUACGCUAAUACCGCAUAUUCUGUGAGCAGGAAAGAGGGGGAUCGCAAGACCUUUUGCUUUAGGAGCGGCCGAUGUCGGAUUAGCUAGUUGGUGAGGUAAAGGCUCACCAAGGCGACGAUCCGUAGCGGGGUCUGAGAGGAUGAUCCGCCACACUGGGACUGAGACACGGCCCAGACUCCUACGGGAGGCAGCAGUGGGGAAUUUUGGACAAUGGGCGCAAGCCUGAUCCAGCCAUGCCGCGUGAGUGAAGAAGGCCUUCGGGUUGUAAAGCUCUUUCGGUGGGGAAGAAAUUGCUUCGGUUAAUACCUGGAGUAGAUGACGGUACCCGCAUAAGAAGCACCGGCUAACUACGUG